AUUCUGUUCUGUUUUGUUUUUUUCUUCUCAAUAGUUCUGCUCUUUAGUUGUGCUCUGCUGUUAUAUUCUACAUUGUUCUGUUCUAUUCUGCUCUGUUUAUGUCCUGCUGCUCUCUUCUGCUCUAUUCUAAUGCUAUUCUGCUCUGCUAUAUUGGCCUAAUAUUCUUCUCUAUUCUAUUCUGUUCUCUUCUGCACUGCUCAUGUCCUGCUCUUCCAUUCUACUCUACUCUUCUGCUCUAUUCACAUUCUGCUGUUCUAUUCUACUUGGUUCUCUUCUGCUCUGUUCUCCUAAAGAGUUAAACAAGGCGCAAAUGCCUGGGUUUGCAGUUGAAAAUUGUGAUGAUCUCAUCAUAAUCCACAGUCACUAAUUUCCCUUUCAAAUGACAAGAGGGACAAGUGGUAGAGACGGUCAGUGUUCAUCUUUGAUCUAAGGUAAUUUUUGAUGCGGCCCACAGUUGAGAAAAGUCU